CUCUGCAGUUCACUCUAAGGGAGCUGCUCCUGUCACUAGCCAACCAGGGCCUCGAGGCGGACUGCUAGUCAGAAUAGGAGCGGACACUUCUGGUCCGCUAUAGUGCAGGCUCGACUGAGUGAGGGAGGCUCCCCGCGGUCUCUAUUCCGUGCUGUGACUUGCCGAUCGGAGCUGUGAGCAGAGCUGGGUGAGCUCGGAAUCCGCACCAUGGAUGCACUGAUCUAUGAGGAUGUGUAUGUGAAUUUUACUCAGGAAGAGUGGGCUUUGUUGAAUCCUUCCCAGAAGAGUCUCUACAAAGAUGUGAUGCUGCAAACCUGCAGGAACCUCAUUGCUAUAGGCUACAAAUAGAACAACCAGAAUAUUGAAGAACAUUGUCAAAGUUCUGGAAAACAUGAAAGGUAUAUCAUCUAUCACUCAGAAUACGAGCCAUUUGAGCAUAAGGGGCAUGGAAAGAUGCAGUGUACCUCUCCCUCUCCUACUACAGUUAGAAGAUAUAUAGUAGUCCCUGCUAUGAGUAGACUUUAUGAAUGUGACAUGAAUUUACAGGCACUUGGUGUUCCAGCUACAGUGGGAAUGCAUCAACAGACUUACAAUGGAGAAAAGCUUUAUAGGUACCAGGAAUGUGGGAAUUCUUCUGUUUAUCCUGGUUCACUUUGCACAUGUAGUGUGAAUCACACUAUAAGAAAAUGUUUCGAAUGCACUCAGUGUUGUAAAGCUCUGAGUUCUCUUCAAAGACACGAAAAAAAAAUUCAUCUGGGAGAAGGAAUUGAUAAUUGUGAGCCAUGUACUAAAGGCUUUAACCAUCACAGGUAUCUUCACACACACAAAAGAACCAAUAGUGAAGAGGAUCCCUAUGAAUACAAUCAGUGUGGUAAAGCCUUUGGAUCUGGUUCUUCCUUACAUCAAAGACCUCAUUUGGAAGGAGCUUCCUAUAAAAAUAAUCAGGGUGUAAAAGUCUUUGCACAUCACAGUUGUCUUCAAGUACGCAGAAUUCAUACUGGAGAGAAACCUUAUGAAUGUAAUCAGUGUGGUUAAAGCCUUUGCAAGUCUCCAUAAUCUUAAAAUACAUAAAAUAAUUCACACUGGAGAGAAACCCUAAGCGUGUCAUCAAUGUGGUAAAGCCUUUGCACAUACCAUUUAUCUUCAGAGGCAUGAAAGAAGUCAUAUAGGAGACAGACCAUAUGAGUGUAAUCAGUGUGGUAAAGGCUUUACACAUUUUGGGGUCUUCAAAACCAUCUGAAAAAUCAUACUGGAGAGAAACCCUAUGAAUGUAAUCAAUGUGGUAAAGCUUUUGCACGUACCAUUUAUCUUCAAAGGCAUGAAAAAAGUCAUACAGAAAACAAACGUUAUCAAUGUAAUCAGUGUGGUAAAGUCUUUGUAAGUCAAAGUAAUCUUCAGAAACAUGAAAGAAGGCAUAAUGGAGAGAUAACUUAUGGAUGCAAUUGAUACACUAUCAGCCUUUGCAUGUUUCAUUUUUCUUCAAAGGAAUGAAAGAAUUCCUACUGGAGAGAAGCACCACGAAUCUAGUAAAUGCAGUAAAGUCUUGCACACCAAGCACAUUUUU
rnacentral:lncRNA from 1 species